rnacentral:rRNA from 1 species
AGGGUUUGAUCAUGGCUCAGAACGUACGCUGGCGGCACGCCUAAUACAUGCAAGUCGAACGAAGUAGCAAUACUUAGUGGCAGACGGGUGAGUAACAUGUGGGUAUCUUCCCUUUGGUGAGGAAUAACACGAGGAAACUUGUGCUAAUACCUCAUAAGUCUUUACAGAGAAAGCUUUAUGCGCCAUUGGAUGAGCCUGCACUUGAUUAGUUUGUUGGUGGGGUAAUGGCCUACCAAGACAAUGAUCAAUAGCUGAUUUGAGAGGAUGAUCAGCCACAUUGGGACUGAGACACGGCCCAAACUCCUACGGGAGGCAGCAGUAGGGAAUCUUGCACAAUGGAGGAAACUCUGAUGCAGCGAUGCCGCGUGAGUGAAGAAGGCCUUUGGGUUGUAAAGCUCUUUCGUCGGGGAAGAAAAUGACUGUACCCGAAUAAGAAGGUCCGGCUAACUUCGUGCCAGCAGCCGCGGUAAUACGAAGGGACCUAGCGUAGUUCGGAAUUACUGGGCUUAAAGAGUUCGUAGGUGGUUAAAAAAGUUGAUGGUGAAAUCCCAGAGCUUAACUCUGGAACUGCCAUCAAAACUUUUUAGCUAGAGUAUGAUAGAGGAAAGCAGAAUUUCUAGUGUAGAGGUGAAAUUCGUA